rnacentral:lncRNA from 10 species
CUCUUCUGCAAAGAGGUGGAGUCUCCCUCCCUUCCCUCUUGAAUUGGGCCUAUCAUGAGAGCAAAACACCAUCUUCUGCUGGAAAAGAGAAAAGGAUAGAAUAUUUCUGUGGUGAGAAAGAAGGUUAUUUGAUACCAAACCCAGACCACACCCACUAGAGCUGGAGUUCAGCUUACAGAAAUGGAUCUAAGAUCAAGUCAAAUCGGUAAAGACACUGAGCCCUAAGCUGCCGUGUAAGGCAUCUGACUACGCUGAAGCCACUACAUUGGAAAGGUCACAUGGAGGAGCUCCAGCUGACAGUCUCGGAGGAGCUCAGCUUCAAGCCAUCCCUGCAAGGUAUCAGCCAUAUAAAUGAAUCAGCCCAGCUGCCAGUCAAGUAUCUUUGCAUGGCUUCCAUCAGUGCCUCAUGAAACGGAAGAUUGACUAGCCAAGACUUGCCCAAAUUCCUGACCCACAAAAUCAUGAGAUAUAAUAAAAUGGUUGUUAUUUUAAGCCACUAAGCA